CACGCCGUAAACGAUGUCUACUAGCCGUUGGAGUCCUUGAGGCUUUAGUGGCGCAGCUAACGCACUAAGUAGACCGCCUGGGGAGUACGGUCGCAAGAUUAAAACUCAAAUGAAUUGACGGGGGCCCGCACAAGCGGUGGAGCAUGUGGUUUAAUUCGACGCAACGCGAAGAACCUUACCAGGUCUUGACAUCCAGAGAACUUUCCAGAGAUGGAUUGGUGCCUUCGGGAACUCUGAGACAGGUGC
rnacentral:rRNA from 1 species